rnacentral:rRNA from 1 species
GCGUGGUUGAGGCAUGCAAGUCGCACGAGAAGCACGUCGCAAGACGUGUUGUAAAGUGGCGGAAGGGUGAGGAAUGGGUAGAUAACGUACCCUCGAGAUGGGCAUAACGUUCCGAAAGGGACGCUAAUUCCCGAUAAGACCACAGUGUGGAAACGCACAGAGGUCAAAGGCUGGGGAUCUUCGGACCUAGCGCUUGAGGAUCGGUCUGCUCCCUACCAGCUAGUAGGCGGGGUAACGGCCCACCUAGGCUGCGACGGGUACCCGGGCUGAGAGGCUGAUCGGGCACAUCGGCACUGAGACACUGGCCGGACACCUACGGGUGGCUGCAGUUCGGAAUAUUCGGCAAUGGACGAAAGUCUGACCGAGCGACGCCGCGUGCGGGAUGAAGGCCCUCUGGGUUGUAAACCGCUUUCGCGAUUUAACAAGUCAUACUUGUCUAACAAGCGAGUAUGUUGAGCAAGGAUCGUAAAGAAGCCCCCGCUAAUCACGU